rnacentral:rRNA from 1 species
UACGUAGGUCCCGAGCGUUGUCCGGAUUUAUUGGGCGUAAAGCGAGCGCAGGUGGUUUAUUAAGUCUGGUGUAAAUGGCAGUGGCUCAACCAUUGUAUGCAUUGGAAACUGGUAGACUUGAGUGCAGGAGAGGAGAGUGGAAUUCCAUGUGUGGCGGUGAAAUGCGUAGAUAUAUGGAGGAACACCGGUGGCGAAAGCGGCUCUCUGGCCUGUAACUGACACUGAGGCUCGAAAGCGUGGGGAGCAAACAGG